ACUUUUGGUGGAGGAACCAGACUGGAUGUUGGAAGUGAUGUCCGUCCCACCCUGACGGUGCUGCCCCCCUCCAGUGAGGAGCUGCAGCAGGGGAAGGCCACGCUCAUGUGCCUGGCCAACAAGGGCUUCCCCUCAGACUGGAGUCUGGCCUGGAAGGUGGACGGCAGCAGCAGCAGCAGCAGCAGCUGGGAGGAGAGCAGGAGCCCCGGGGUGCUGGAGAAGGACGGCCGCUACAGCUGGAGCAGCACCCUGAGGCUCCCUGCAGACCAGUGGAGGAAGGUGGGCUCUGUGACCUGUGAGGCCACCCAGGGCUCCCAGGCUCUGGUCUCAGAGACACUGAGGAGAGACCAGUGUUCCCAGUCCUGACCUGACUCACUGGGACUCUGCUACUGGUUUUACUCUGCUCUCUGAACUCUGUAACUCUCUCUGUGUCUGUGUCUCUUUCUUUCCUUCAAUCAUUCUCUAAUCACAUGUUUCAUGGUUAAAGUUUGUUUACUGGAUUUAAUUUUGAUUAUUUCAACACAAUAAAGACCAGUUCAUCAAA